AUUAUUUAAGAUGAAAAAGUGUAACGAUGAUGAUUGAAAAUAAUAUUUUAUGAGUGGCAAAUGAGGCUCUGGACUAGUGUUGUAUCACAUGGUCACGGUAAUGGAUAUAUGGAGUAUGUUAAAGGUUAUUACUAUUUAAGUGAAUCGAGGUCAAGAAAUUAAUUAUGGGCAUAAUUGGUUAGAUGUGGAAUACAAUAGAAGAUUAAGGGAUUUAAUUAAGGUUUAAAUAUGACAAGUACUAAGUGCUCAUAUUUCCACGUGGAGCAUUAUUAUGAAAUGAGAAAGAUGACUUGUAUAUAUGCAUGUACGUGUAAGGUGGCUGCCUCUUGGAUUAAAAAGUAUCAUAUGAAUGUAAUGAUGAGGCAGAUGCAUGUACGUGGAAGAUGGCUGCCUCUUGGAUUAAAAAAAAAGAGCAUCAUAUGAAUGUAAUAAUUAGGUGGGCCCCGCAUUUUAUUUAAAGGCGUUCACUUUUGAUAUUUCAUAAGGAUUAAGAGAGUUAUCUUGAGAGGAUGCGGGCAGCAGCGAAACUUGCAAGAAAAAUGAGCAUCAAUACAUUCAUUUUGGAGAAUUAUUCCUUACUUUGAGAAUUCAUAUUUCAACCUUGGAUAUUUUUUUUUAACACAAAACUUUCCAGCAAUUUUAAUCUUGGAGAGGUUAUUUUGGAGAAUAUAAACGAGCAACAAUAUAAGGUUUGGAUGUUACUAUGGAAUAAAGAUUGCUACGGGACUUGACUAGGUAACGAUGUGACAUUGGGGGAGAGCAAGUGAACGAUAACAUAGCUAAACGACAAAGGUAUGUGAGGCUAGUCCUUUCUUUCUAUGGCAUGAAUCUUAUAGCUUGACUCUCUUUUUAUCCAUGAGUUUCCUUAAGUUCCGAAAAAUACGAGUCUAUGUCCAUAAUUAGCCACACAAGGUAAUGAGUAAAGUAUAGAAAUCCCAAUACUCAUGUUGUGAUGAUCCUAUGAUGUUAAUGAUGCUAUUUAUUGCUUACACUCACCUUAUAUGCUAAUUCCUUCAAGGUGAGGCAGGAUGUCAAUGAAUGUUCCAUAAUGACGUCGGAAGCCACCGACCUUACGUCACUCCGAUAUAGUUAUGGCUUUGAUUGGGCUCUUAUGCAUGCUUUAUAUAUAUAUAUAUAUAUAUAUAUAUAUACGUAUGUAUUUUCUCACACCGCGCCGCGCUAUAGUCGGCCGGGCAGGCACGUAGAUGUGCACACCACUAUAGUGGGCAGCUUAUACCCCGGACGCGGGAGGCCUGGACGCAGGCUAUGAUUAUCACACCGUACCUGCAUGGACGGGCAGCUUAUAUAUGUAUAGAUACAUGACAUGAUAAAGAUUAUGAGUAGACAGGGAGGUGAGCUUGAUUCAGAUUCUUAGUAGCUGUCAGCUGAUUGAGAGCACUCCAUUGUUCGGAGGUGCUUAUGUUUAUUCCUUUGGUUCCUUUAUGUAUUUCGCGCACGACGGAGUCUUGUUCCGUCUAUAUGUAUAAUAUGUCAGUAGAGGCUCGUAGACGCGCAGUGUCGGUUAGAUGGUCUCACAAGAUUACUAUGUUAUAUUUGUAUAUGUUAUUUUGAUAGCCUAAGGGGCACGUGUAUAUAAAAUUAUUUGUGUUUUCAAACGAAAAAUGGUUGUCUUAUGAUUAUGAGAUUAUGAAUGAUAAAGAAAUGUAAAAUGGUUAUAACGAGUGAGGAAACGAGCGGUGCUUGGUGGUUAGCCCGGGUGCCCGUCGCGGCCCUAGUCGGGUCGUGACAGAAGUGGUAUCAGAGCAGUUUAGUCCUAGGAAGUGUCUACGAGCCGUGUCUAGUAGAGUCUUGUUUAUGGUGUGUUGCGCGCCACAGUUAUAAACAGGAAGGUACAGGACAUUUAGGAUGUCACUUUUCCUUCAGAUCUUAGUAUCGUACGAUAGAGCCAAGAGAUAGGAAAUGAUAUCCCUUAUAUACUGAUCUUUGAUUUCAGUAGGAGAGUGGUGUAGACAAAAGAAGGCAAAUAAUGCUACUGGAAGUUACAGAGGCUAAUAUUUCAUUGAGGUUACGUUAUCAGAAAUUGUAUAUACAGAAUGGCGACUGGUCAUCUUACUGCAGUUUAGUGUCUGUUACCGCUAUUUGGACAAUGCAGUGUCAACUCUAGUGCAAGAUAAAAGCUGCAUAAAAUAUUGACCUAUGUGAAAUGUCGUGGCCUGUCAAAGAUAAGAGAAGAACUUAGAAACAAUAAAGAUACAAUCAUUGUUUUAAAAGGCAGUGUCAGGACUCGCCUCGGGGCUCGCCUCGGGGCAGGGCAGUGGCAAAACGCUCUGGGGCUAACGUGCGGGGCUUAGUUCCUAUGAGGCUUACGCCCUAAGUGCCCAACCGUACGCCCUAAACACGCAUAACGCCCAACGCCCAGGGCUUGCCUAACAGUUCUUACACAAAUUAUAUUUUAAAUUCCUUAAUUAAAAUCAUUCACCCUCAUAAUUGUUUAACAAAAUAAUGAUACUUAAUAGUUUUUCAUCUAUAGAAAUAGAAGAUUGGGUGUAACUCAUAUAACAAGUCGUAGUAUUGAAUAUUUACUAUUUGAGAACGUCGUGAGGGUGAAUAUCACUUAAAUUGUUUUAAAAAACACAUAGUGGAAUUGUACAUUUUCACUUGUCAUUGGUCAUAAGUCCUAUGUAUCAGAAUUAUCAUAUAAUUUUAUUUUUUGUUCAUGAAGAAGUUAUGUUUUAAUUGUAAUAUUGAUAAAUUUUAUUGAUUAUUUGCUUAUAGGGAGAUAAAAUGAAUAGUAUGAUAGUAAUAGUGUUUUAAGAAACUGUAUUUUUUUCCGUGAUUGAAAGUUAAAAUGUUAGAAUU